rnacentral:misc_RNA from 1 species
GGAAGGAUCAUUACCACGUAUCCACGUACCCACCCUCGUGCACUCGUUUUCACCCCUCCCUCGAAUUGCGUACACGGACGUGUGACGCGACAGUUGCGAGUAGAUGUGCGCGAUUCUAUCGCGCAUUCGCUGUCGUGUCCGAUGCCUCUCGGGGCAUCCGUCGCAGUCGCCUCGAGGCUUAGUCUGACGCGUGCGUCGCCUUACUCGGCACACGCACCGUUGGGCGUUACACAUACACAUUUGAGACACCGAUUUUGCUAGUUGACUUAUAUACGGUGAGUACGGUUGCUUCGGCACCCGCUUACCCGUUUGAUUUAUUCGAACUAUAAAACAACUCUUAGCAAUGGAUAUCUAGGUUCUCGCAACGAUGAAGAACGCAGCGAAAUGCGAUACGUAAUGCGAAUUGCAGAAUUCAGUGAAUCAUCAAAUCUUUGAACGCACAUUGCGCUCUUGGGUAGCCCUAGGAGCACGCCUCUCUCAGUAUCGGUUCAACUCCCCUCAGCGGCGUCGAUGACUUUUGUCAUCGGCGCGUCGGCUGGAGAAUGAGAGUCUGCAAUCCUCUUGCAGUCUCUUGAAAUCUAUCGAGUGUCCACUACCAGCGAUCGAUGCCCGACGAACCUUGUGCUCGUCUAGCUCUGCGAACCGCUCGUGCCAGAGUGACGUGAAUACUGACCUUCGGGUCUCCUCUUUUACGUGUAUCUCUGUGUGCGAUCCUGCGGCCCUGCAUGCAGCGAAUCAUCCUUCGUGUGUACACGUUGAGUGUUCCAUUGCGAGCGUGUCGAGUCACUUGACCGACUGCUCGAAUCUUUGAUCUGAGAUGAAGCGAGACAACCCCCUGAAUUUAAGCAUAUUAAUAAGGGGAGGAAAAUAAACUAACAAGGAUUCCCCCAGUAACGGCGAGUGAAGCGGGAGGAGCUCAAUGUGAGAAUCGACCACCUAAGCGGGUUGUCGAGUUGUAGCCUAGUGACGUACUAUCAGCUGGCACCUGGGUAUAAGUUCUUUGGAAUGAGGCGCGAGACAGGGUGAGAGCCCCGUGUACGACCCAAAGCUGUCAGCGUACGAUGUAUGUUCUUCGAGUCGAGUUGUUUGGGAUUGCAGCUCUAAAUGGGUGGUAAGUUUCAUCUAAAGCUAAAUAUAGGCGAGAGACCGAUAGCGAACAAGUACCGUGAGGGAAAGAUGAAAAGAACUUUGAAAAGAGAGUGAAAAGUACUUGAAAUUGCUAAGAGGGAAGCGCUGGGCACGAGUGAUGCUGCGUGUGCAUCGCCUUGAGCCGUCGUAGAGUGUGCGUGCCGUUGGUAACUCGGCAUGCGCGCUCGAUAGAUAGGUUCGGGGUUCAGCAUACGUGGCGAGUCAAGAUCCAUUCGGGCUGUGGGAGAGGGAUGCGAGGAAGGUAGGAGAGCAAUCUCUGUUAAGCCUCGUGUUCGUACCUCGGCCUGGAUGGAGGAAGAAAUAGUGCGCUGCUUGCGGCUUGGUCCGGCGUCUCGCGUGCCUCAGCUAUUCGGAGAGCAAUGCUCUGCGGGUGGGGAAGGGUUCGCCUGGGCGUCGGGUACCUAUGUGCUAUCGCGAUCUUGUACGAAAUCGUGCCCAUCGACCCGUCUUGAAACACGGACCAAGGAGUCUAACAUCUAUGCAAGUAUUUGGGUGUCAAACCCUGAUGCGCAAUGAAAGUGAAGGCAGCUCGACUGCUGAGGUAGGAAGCCGGCAACGGCAGCACUAUCGACCGAUCAUCGCUUGCGAAAGAUUUGAGUAAGAGCAUAUCUGUUGGGACCCGAAAGAUGGUGAUCUAUGCCUGAACAGGGUGAAGCCAGGGGAAACUCUGGUGGAGGCUCGUAGCGAUACUGACGUGCAAAUCGUUCGUCUGAUUUGGGUAUAGGGGCGAAAGACUAAUCGAACCAUCUAGUAGCUGGUUCCCUC